GACAGAGGGUGCAAACGUUGUUCGGAUUCAUUGGGCGUAAAGGGUGUGUAGGUGGCGCCGUAAGUCGGGUGUGAAAUUUCGGAGCUUAACUCCGAAACUGCAUUCGAUACUGCGGUGCUUGAGGACUGGAGAGGAGACUGGAAUUCAUGGUGUAGCAGUGAAAUGCGUAGAGAUCAUGAGGAAGACCAGUGGCGAAGGCGGGUCUCUGGACAGUUCCUGACACUGAGGCACGAAGGCCAGGGGAGCAAACGGG
rnacentral:rRNA from 1 species